CGUUAUUGGAAAUCAUGCCGGGGGGAAAGAGACUACCAGCCGCUGGAUAAUUUCAGCAGCUACACCCAGGGGGCUAAAGACUGGGGUCCGAAGCAGGGGCCAGGAAAUAGCUCAUUUCCGGAGCGCCUUUGUAGCGGCCUCCGGACCACUUGGCGACGUCCGGCGGGGGCGCAGUGAACCCGAGAGCGCGGGACAGCGAGCGAGACCGCGCCCUCCAGAGAGCCUGGGCGACCGGGUGACUUGAUGAGACUGCUUCAAUGAAGAAAAGAGUUUCCAAUGCAUUCAAUUCAUAUUAAGGAAACUUUCAUGUAAGUUUGUAGUUCAAAAUAUUUGGAUUUCUCCUUUAUUUCCUCAACCUUA
rnacentral:lncRNA from 1 species